ACACUCCUGCGGGAGGCAGCAGUGGGGAAUUUUGGACAAUGGGCGAAAGCCUGAUCCAGCAAUGCCGCGUGCAGGAUGAAGGCCUUCGGGUUGUAAACUGCUUUUGUACGGAACGAAAAAGCUCCUUCUAAUACAGGGGGCCCAUGACGGUACCGUAAGAAUAAGCACCGGCUAACUACGUGCCAGCAGCCGCGGUAAUACGUAGGGUGCGAGCGUUAAUCGGAAUUACUGGGCGUAAAGCGUGCGCAGGCGGUUAUGUAAGACAGAUGUGAAAUCCCCGGGCUCAACCUGGGAACUGCAUUUGUGACUGCAUGGCUAGAGUACGGUAGAGGGGGAUGGAAUUCCGCGUGUAGCAGUGAAAUGCGUAGAUAUGCGGAGGAACACCGAUGGCGAAGGCAAUCCCCUGGACCUGUACUGACGCUCAUGCACGAAAGCGUGGGGAGCAAACAGGAUUAGAAACCCGGGUAGUCC
rnacentral:rRNA from 1 species